rnacentral:rRNA from 1 species
GACGAGCGCUGGCGGUGUGCUUAACACAUGCAAGUCGAACGGUAAGGCCCUUUCGGGGGUACACGAGUGGCGAACGGGUGAGUAACACGUGAGUAACCUGCCCUCAUCUCUGGGAUAACAGUCGGAAACGGUUGCUAAUACUGGAUAUGAGCUUGCAAGGCAUCUUGUGGGUUGGAAAGAUUUUUUUGGUUGGGGAUGGACUCGCGGCCUAUCAGCUUGUUGGUGAGGUAGUGGCUCACCAAGGCUUCGACGGGUAGCCGGCCUGAGAGGGCGACCGGCCACAUUGGGACUGAGAUACGGCCCAAACUCCUACGGGAGGCAGCAGUGGGGAAUAUUGCACAAUGGACGGAAGUCUGAUGCAGCAACGCCGCGUGCGGGAUGACGGCCUUCGGGUUGUAAACCGCUUUCAAUUGUGACGAAGCUUUUUGUGACGGUAGCAGUAGAAGAAGCACCGGCUAACUACGUG